rnacentral:rRNA from 1 species
UACGAAGGGGGCUAGCGUUGUUCGGAAUCACUGGGCGUAAAGCGCGUGUAGGCGGAUCGUUAAGUCGGGGGUGAAAUCCUGAGGCUCAACCUCAGAACUGCCUUCGAUACUGGCGAUCUUAGAGUCCGGGAGAGGUGAGUGGAACUCCUAGUGUAGAGGUGAAAUUCGUAGAUAUUAGGAAGAACACCAGUGGCGAAGGCGGCUCACUGGUCCGGUACUGACGCUGAGGUGCGAAAGCUAGGGGAGCAAACAGG